UUUGCUGACGAGCGGCGGACGGGUGAGUAAUGCUUGGGAACAUGCCUUGAGGUGGGGGACAACAGUUGGAAACGACUGCUAAUACCGCAUAAUGUCUACGGACCAAAGGGGGCUUCGGCUCUCGCCUUUAGAUUGGCCCAAGUGGGAUUAGCUAGUUGGUGAGGUAAUGGCUCACCAAGGCGACGAUCCCUAGCUGGUUUGAGAGGAUGAUCAGCCACACUGGGACUGAGACACGGCCCAGACUCCUACGGGAGGCAGCAGUGGGGAAUAUUGCACAAUGGGCGCAAGCCUGAUGCAGCCAUGCCGCGUGUGUGAAGAAGGCCUUCGGGUUGUAAAGCACUUUCAGUCAGGAGGAAAGGUUAGUAGUUAAUACCUGCUAGCUGUGACGUUACUGACAGAAGAAGCACCGGCUAACUCCGUGCCAGCAGCCGCGGUAAUACGGAGGGUGCGAGCGUUAAUCGGAAUUACUGGGCGUAAAGCGUACGCAGGCGGUUUGUUAA
rnacentral:rRNA from 1 species